GACGAACGCUGGCGGCGUGCUUAAUGCAUGCAAGUCAGGGAGAACCACUCGCUUCGUAAGAAGCGGAUGGGGAAACCGGCGAACGGGUGCGUAACACGUGAGAAACCUGCCCUGGAGACCGGGAUAGCCCGAGGAAACUCGGAUUAAUACCGGAUAUGCUCACAGGACCGCAUGGUCCGGUGAGGAAAUGGUCCGCCGCUCCAGGAUGGUCUCGCGGCCUAUCAGCUUGUUGGUGAGGUAACGGCUCACCAAGGCCGAGACGGGUAGCUGGUCUGAGAGGACGAUCAGCCACACUGGGACUGAGACACGGCCCAGACUCCUACGGGAGGCAGCAGCAGGGAAUAUUGCACAAUGGGCGAAAGCCUGAUGCAGCGACGCCGCGUGCGGGAUGACGGCCUUCGGGUUGUAAACCGCUUUCAGCAGGGAAGAAAAUGACGGUACCCGCAGAAGAAGCCCCGGCUAACUCCGUG
rnacentral:rRNA from 1 species